UCCUUUAUAAUAAAAGAAAAAUAAAAAGGAAUUAUGAGAAAAUAAAAUAGAAAAAGGAAACUUACCAUUUUGUGUUGGGAGAGUUGAAUAAAGGGGGAAGGAAGAGAAGAAGAGGGCAUAUUUUCUUGUGGCUGCCGUGACUUAGAGAGAGAGAGAGAGAGAGAGAGUGGCGUGUAGAGAGAGAGGGAGAAGAAGAAAGAAAGGAAGAAAGAAGAAGAAGGUGAAGAGGAACCCAUUUUAGAGCUUGAACAAGGGGUGUGAAGUUUGGGUGUUGAUCAUAUUGUGUUCUUGAUUUUACAAUCAAGAGAGGCUCGUUGAAAGAUUGUGAAAAUUUCUUAGCUUGGACCUGAGGUAGCAAAUAGGAUUUCUUUAUGGCACGCGUGGUGACGUGAGGAGUUCUAUCAUCAUGGAGUGUAUCCUAUGGACGGAAAAACGAUCAUCGUAGAACGCCAUUUAAAAUUAUGUUUUGUUAUAAGAGACUUUUCCUAAAUUUUCAGUGGGACUCAGUUAUUUAAUUUUGUUUCUUUGAACUUUGCAUAAAAUUUAUGUUUUCUUUUAAAACUAAUGGCGCCAACUUGCAUGGUUUUAAGCAAGUCCCCACUAAGACUUUGAUAAUGAGUGGUAUUCUUUUACAAACUA